UACGUAGGGAGCAAGCGUUAUCCGGAAUUAUUGGGUGUAAAGAGUGCGUAGACGGGGAAGCAAGUUGGUCUGUGAAAUCCCUCGGCUUAACUGAGGAACUGCAACCAAAACUACUACUCUUGAGUGCUGGAGAGGAAAGUGGAAUUCCUAGUGUAGCGGUGAAAUGCGUAGAUAUUAGGAGGAACACCAGUGGCGAAGGCGACUUUCUGGACAGUAACUGACGUUGAGGCACGAAAGCGUGGGGAGCAAA
rnacentral:rRNA from 1 species